AGGUAUCAAAUCCAAACUCCUCCUCCUCUUCUUCUUCUUCCUUGCACAUGCUUAUAGGAGGAGGAGGAGGAGGAGUUUGGAUUUGAUACCC